rnacentral:piRNA from 1 species
UAGAAGCAGCAGUUUUCUUACUGG